rnacentral:rRNA from 1 species
GAACGCUAGCUACAGGCUUAACACAUGCAAGUCGAGGGGCAGCAUGGUCUUAGCUUGCUAAGGCCGAUGGCGACCGGCGCACGGGUGAGUAACACGUAUCCAACCUGCCGUCUACUCUUGGACAGCCUUCUGAAAGGAAGAUUAAUACGAGAUGGCAUCAUGAGUCCGCAUGUUCACAUGAUUAAAGGUAUUCCGGUAGACGAUGGGGAUGCGUUCCAUUAGAUAGUAGGCGGGGUAACGGCCCACCUAGUCUUCGAUGGAUAGGGGUUCUGAGAGGAAGGUCCCCCACAUUGGAACUGAGACACGGUCCAAACUCCUACGGGAGGCAGCAGUGAGGAAUAUUGGUCAAUGGGCGAGAGCCUGAACCAGCCAAGUAGCGUGAAGGAUGACUGCCCUAUGGGUUGUAAACUUCUUUUAUAAAGGAAUAAAGUCGGGUAUGCAUACCCGUUUGCAUGUACUUUAUGAAUAAGGAUCGGCUAACUCCGUGCCAGCAGCCGCGGUAAUACGGAGGAUCCGAGCGUUAUCCGGAUUUAUUGGGUUUAAAGGGAGCGUAGAUGGAUGUUUAAGUCAGUUGUGAAAGUUUGCGGCUCAACCGUAAAAUUGCAGUUGAUACUGGAUAUCUUGAGUGCAGUUGAGGCAGGCGGAAUUCGUGGUGUAGCGGUGAAAUGCUUAGAUAUCACGAAGAACUCCGAUUGCGAAGGGCAGCCUGCUAAGCUGCAACUGACAUUGAGGCUCGAAAGUGUGGGUAUCAAACAGGAUUAGAUACCCUGGUAGUCCACACGGUAAACGAUGAAUACUCGCUGUUUGCGAUAUACAGCAAGCGGCCAAGCGAAAGCGUUAAGUAUUCCACCUGGGGAGUACGCCGGCAACGGUGAAACUCAAAGGAAUUGACGGGGGCCCGCACAAGCGGAGGAACAUGUGGUUUAAUUCGAUGAUACGCGAGGAACCUUACCCGGGCUUAAAUUGCAGAUGAAUUACGGUGAAAGCCGUAAGCCGCAAGGCAUCUGUGAAGGUGCUGCAUGGUUGUCGUCAGCUCGUGCCGUGAGGUGUCGGCUUAAGUGCCAUAACGAGCGCAACCCUUGUUGUCAGUUACUAACAGGUUCCGCUGAGGACUCUGACAAGACUGCCAUCGUAAGAUGUGAGGAAGGUGGGGAUGACGUCAAAUCAGCACGGCCCUUACGUCCGGGGCUACACACGUGUUACAAUGGGGGGGUACAGAGGGCCGCUACCACGCGAGUGGAUGCCAAUCCCAAAAACCUCUCUCAGUUCGGACUGGAGUCUGCAACCCGACUCCACGAAGCUGGAUUCGCUAGUAAUCGCGCAUCAGCCACGGCGCGGUGAAUACGUUCCCGGGCCUUGUACACACCGCCCGUCAAGCCAUGGGAGCCGGGGGUACCUGAAGUGCGUAACCGCGAGGAGCGCCCUAGGGUAAAACUGAA